rnacentral:rRNA from 1 species
GAUGAACGCUCGCUACAGGCUUAACACAUGCAAGUCGCGGGGCAGCAUGGGGGUUGCUUGCCAUCCCCGAUGGCGACCGGCGCACGGGUGAGUAACGCGUAUCCAGCCUGCCCUUCACCACGGGAUAACCCGGCGAAAGUCGGACUAAUACCGUAUGUUGUCCAUUGACGGCAUCCGAUUUGGACGAAAGGCUUGGCGGUGAGGGAUGGGGAUGCGUCCGAUUAGCCAGACGGCGGGGUAACGGCCCACCGUGGCUACGAUCGGUAGGGGUUCUGAGAGGAAGGUCCCCCACACUGGAACUGAGACACGGUCCAGACUCCUACGGGAGGCAGCAGUGAGGAAUAUUGGUCAAUGGGCGUAAGCCUGAACCAGCCAAGUAGCGUGCAGGAUGACGGCCCUAUGGGUUGUAAACUGCUUUUAUGCGGGGAUAAAGUGGCCCACGUGUGGGCUUUUGCAGGUACCGCAUGAAUAAGGACCGGCUAAUUCCGUG